UACGUAGGGGGCGAGCGUUGUCCGGAUUUAUUGGGCGUAAAGAGCGUGUAGGCGGCCAGGUAGGUCUGCUGUGAAAACUCGAGGCUCAACCUCGAGACGUCGGCGGAAACCAUCUGGCUAGAGUCCGGAAGAGGAGAGUGGAAUUCCUGGUGUAGCGGUGAAAUGCGCAGAUAUCAGGAGGAACACCCGUAGCGAAGGCGGCACUCUGGGCCGAUACUGACACUGAGGAGCGAAAGCGUGGGGAGCGAACAGG
rnacentral:rRNA from 1 species